rnacentral:rRNA from 1 species
CCUACGGGAGGCUGCAGUGGGGAAUAUUGGGCAAUGGGGGAAACCCUGACCCAGCAACGCCGCGUGAAGGACGAAGGCCUUCGGGUUGUAAACUUCUUUGAUCAGGGACGAAAAAAAUGACGGUACCUGAAGAACAAGCCACGGCUAACUACGUGCCAGCAGCCGCGGUAAUACGUAGGUGGCGAGCGUUAUCCGGAUUUACUGGGUGUAAAGGGCGUGUAGGCGGGUUUGCAAGUCGGGUGUGAAAGAUUCGGGCUUAACCCGGAGAGGUCAUCCGAAACUGCAGAUCUUGAGUGCUGGAGAGGAUAGUGGAAUUCCUGGUGUAGCGGUAAAAUGCGUAGAGAUCAGGAGGAACACCAGUGGCGAAGGCGGCUAUCUGGACAGUAACUGACGCUGAGGCGCGAAAGCGUGGGGAGCAAACAGGAUUAGAUACCCCAGUAGUC